UGUCUUCGUUCUAAUCCCCAAACACUACCUUCCUUUUUCCAGAAGUUCAUGUGGAGCCUCAUAAGAAACAGCUACAUGUGACCCUGGCAUACCACUUCCAAGCCAGUCACCUACCCACUCUAGAGAAACUCGCCCAGAACAUCGACGUCAAGCUAGGGUGUGACUGGGUGGCCACCAUAUUCUCUCGGGAUAUCCGGUUUGCUAACCACGAGACGUUACAGGUGAUCUACCCCUAUUCCCCUCAGAACGAUGAUGAGCUGGAGUUGGUUCCUGGGGACUUCAUCUUCAUGUCUCCCAUGGAA